ACACACACACACACUAACACACACACACUAACACACACACACAGACACACACACACACUAACUGAACAGCAGUCAGUCCGAGCCGUAGCGCUCAGGUAAGCCUCUUCUGUGAGCAAACAUGGAGGCAGUGAGAGCGAGAGGAAGACGAGAGGAGGAGGAGGAGGAGGAGGAGGGCGAGAACAAAGAAGGAUGAAAACUGUCAUCCAGCGUCGCAGGUUCAAGCUCAUACUUUUCCCUGGCCUUCACACCCGAACUACCAGCUGGUCAAACUCCAGAAGAGGCUCAGAGAGAGCUUGGACUUGAUGCCAGUGCUGCUCCUCAUGAAUACAUAUUCAUUGACGAGGCGGGGUUCAACCUGACCAGGACCAGGCGGCGGGCCGUGCCAUCAACAAUGCUGCAUGGGGGAAGUGUGACCGUCCAUCACCAUGCCCAACUUGGUCCAUACAACACUGCCUGUCUGCUAACCUUCCUUGAUGCACUUAACAAUAUCCUCAUCCCCCCACAGGAAGAGGGACCAGAGCAGCCCAACUACCUUGUCAUUUGAGAUAACGUACGCUUCCACCGGGCGGAUCUGGUCCAGAACUGCAUGGUGUUGGAAGGUAAAUGACUGCAGACUCCAUGAGCGUGUGGUCCUACUCCAGGCGAUGGAGGUGGCGUGUGGCGGCAUCCACGCAGACCCAUGCCAGGGGCGGAUCCGCCACGCCAGGCACUUCCCCCCCGCUGCUUGGCCGGGGAGAACAUCGCAGUCGAUGUACAUGAGGUCCUCCGGCCUGAUCAGGAUCGGAGACGGGAUGCGGACAGAUUUACGUGUAGAUCUUUUUCACUGCAUUUAGAUUUUUUUAGGCUUUUGCAGUCGGUUCAGUCAGCUGAACAUUUUACUGUUUUACAGCAACAAAUGAAUAUUUGCUUUGUUGCCUUUUUGUAUUUCAUCAUUACAUCCACAGAAAGACAGCCUAAACAUGUUCUCAGAGAACAUGGUUUAAAGGGCAGUGUUUCGUUUUGUGGAGUUUUGACAAAAUGGUUAACUCUUUUCAGUUUGAAGUUUUGAGAAACUAUAUUUCAGGAAACGAGUUUAAACUAUAAUUACACUCGGUCGGGCGGAGGCAACAUUCAUUGUACUAAGCGUAGUGGCGCACCACAAACGAAACAAAAGAACGAGGUACUCCGCGAGCGUGUGUGCGCACACCUUCCGGUAAAAAGAGACAGAAAGUGAGUUCGAGGUGAGCACCAAGGCAUUGUAUUACUCAACAUUCAAACACAACUCGCAUAACAACGUUGUUGGCAGCAUGUCGCGUGUUGUAUUGAAUUUCAUUAUUUCAGAGUUUGUCCGCGGUGAGAAAAGAAAGUUUGUAGAACUUGGCUAGCAGCCAACCUCCAUUUCACUAGCUGUUGUCUCAUCAUCGCAGAUCACACAACAUCCCAUAAUAUCAACCGUGUCAGUAUAUCGACACUCUGCGUCUUGCGUCAACACCAACUUGUUCAGGGUCCAUUUGAGAGGAACGGAGUCAAAGACCUUUACUAUGACCCCCCACCCGUGUGAAAAUGUUUGGAGUUGCACCAUUCUGGAUUCCUCGUAGUCUAAUGGUUUUGUUUGUCACCACCAUGUUCACAAUAGCAGUCCCUGUUCUGGUGUGAACAGCCGGUGUCUUCCAACAUGGCCUGGUCGUCUCUCAGUUCUGCAGAUGAUCCAAAAAUAUGAAAUGACAUUACUGCAGCAUUGGCCAACAAUCACUGGGUAACAGUGGCGUACUGAUAUGUGGGACUGCUUUACAGUAUGCUUAGCAUAGUGUAGAUAGUAGGUAAUUUAGCGGUUCUCAGGAUGAUCGGUGCUCAGGUUGGGCUGAACUCUCUGCCAGCCUCCCUUAUACUCAAUCCAUGGUUGAGCACAUGGUCAACCAACGUGGCCCUGAUCUCAUCUGAGACAACGGUCCUUCCUUGUCCUCAUCCUCCUCUUCCUCCUCUUACUCUCACUCCUUGAUCUCUAGCUCUUGCUUCACCAUUGACCUCCAUUUUCCUCCAAAACAGGAGAGCUUAUCUGUGGCCUUUUUAUAGUGCUAAAGCUCUGAUUUCUAAGUGAACAACUGAGCAACUGGUGUUUACACCUGUGAGGAGUGGGCGUUGCCACGUGGUAAAUAAAGCUUGGCACUGUGAUUGGCGUUUCUUUCCAAAAGAACACAAGAGAUUUUGGAUGUUGUGCCUAAUGUAGAGAACCGUGUGUUUGCAAAAAGUGUGAUUUAGAAUUGAAAACUGAGUGCAAAGCAGAAAUUGUGCUUGGGGUUUAAGGAUUUGGUAUAUGAGUUUCAGGUUUCGGUGAUUGCGUUUCAAUGUUCCAAUUUUAGUGUGUAAACAGUUGUGACUGUAACUCUUUUCCACCAGAACGUUCUUAUAACUAAUUAAAAGUCACUUUUUAACAUUCCUGUUUGUGUUUCUACACAAACUAUGAAGAUUUGUCAAGUCAGACCGAUGAGGGAUCCAAUUACAUCACGUUAACAUAAAGGAACUCUGUUACGACUGAUCGUAGAAUAACGUGAUCAUUUAAUAAAUUAUCCAAUAAUUGAAUAUUGAUUAUUUCAAUGUGUGGAAAUGCACAUUAUGAUUUGUCAUGUGACCAUCCUGGUUGUUGCUGCUGUCAUGUAAGAUCAUAUGCAGGAUACUCAAUUAAACAAAUCAAUCAAUCAUUAAAUUAAUUUAGUGUGAAGUGACUCUUUACUGAGUCUGUGAUCAUCCGUGUUCAUUAGAUCUAAAAGGUCUGAUCAGCCUCUCCUCCUCUCUCUGGCCUGCUUUUAUUGUGAAAGGGGCAGGAUGGUGUGCUGCAGAAAUAAAAGAGAAGAAGAAGAGCAGGAGGUUCGUUCAUCAGUGACAGAUCGAACCUUCAUCUGACUCCAGGUGAUGACAUCAAACACCUGUUCGUUUUAGAC